AAAAAAAAAUAAAAAUAAGAUAAAAAAAAAAAAUAAGUGUUCAUUAUCACAAUUUAUUUAUUCCAAUAUUUUUGGUAUUUAUGAGGCUUGGUGAUUCAGUUUCCUUGAUUUCGAAGCCCUCGCUUUCCAUGCCCUGAUCCCAAGCAAUACUUAAUUCUUAAACCCAUCUGUAUGUAAACGAGUUUCACUUCGAAAUUCUCAGAGAAGCCCAAGGACUAGCACACUCUGAGAGAGUGCGAGAUCCAGAGUCAGUUUUCUCUCCUCUUCUCUAUUCCUUUCCUUUCUCAUUUCAACAAUGUGUAUUUUUUUGGGUUAUGUGAUUUCCCGUUUCAUUUGAUCAAUAUGUAUUUUUUUGGGUUCUUCUAAUUUGGGUAAGCUGUGAAAAUGGAUUUAGAGACGAAACUGAGGUUGCAAUUUGCUUUCAUUUGUCAGUGUAGUUGUACAAAACCUCCAUGGAUCUUAGCUCAGCUUAGCUAUUGGCGAUGUUCAGUGUCAUUAUUUUAUUUAGCUUAAAAGUUUUUUUAAUUUUUCUGGCUCCUGAGGUGUAUAUUUGUUUUGAGAAUCUGAAUUAGGUGAAAUAAUGAUAUUAACCUAGAAAAAGGAGGAAGAAUGAGGAAAUUUUGAUGAGAAAAUGGAUAAAAUUAAGUAUUGGAAGAGUAGGUUAUGAUAGUGAGUGUGAUCUAGUCAACACUGAAAUAAUUGGACAAUGCAGGUGGUGACAUUUUGCCAAGUCUAACAUUAUAAUAUGGAUAGUUUGGGUGGUUCAAGGUUGGCAAAUUUAAAAUCAAAUUAAGGUGAAAUUGAGUUGUCUGGGAAGUUGAAAGUUAGGGUUCAUUGGUGUUUUGUUUUUUGAUGUGGAAAAUUGAACAAUAUGACUAUGAUGAAAGUUGAUUGCAGCUAUGCAAUGUGUAGUUAACCAGUUGUUUUGAUUCAGCGAAGUUAGCUAAUGUGAUUGAAGAUAUUCAAUAGUGUGGGGUUGGAUUUUAAAAUAAAUUAUAAUGUGGGUUGAGACGGGUGGCCCUUGUUGGUAGCUUUUCACUCUUUCUUGAUAUAAUCAUCUUUCUUUCAUAACUGGGCAUAAUUGAGAGAUUGCGCAUUAAUGAUGAAUCACAUCUGGAAAGCCUUGAAUUUCACUACUAACUUGCAUAACUUUUUUGAUGAGUUGGCAAUGGGCUGCGAAGGAAAGUUUAAGUUCCAGCUUGUUGGGGAAUUUAAUAUGUUUGUCUUUGCUUUCUGUUGUAUAUCAUGAAAAAAAUUUACUUUCUGUUGGAAAAGUUACAUGCAUGUGUGCACAUGUGGUUUAGAAUGCUUCUAUAAACUCACCUCAUGAUAUGUUUUUUACCUGUUACAUGUGAGUGAAUUAUCUCUUUAUUCUAACUCUUUAUCCUAACUAUAUGAUUUUUCUCCCUGCUAGAAAUUCCUUUUGAGAUGUCUGACGAUGUGGAGAAUUCUAAAGUUAACAUUGACCAAAAAGGUCCAGGAGCCUCGCCUCCUGCCAAUGAAAUUGAGCCAACCUGGUGUAGCAGCUUACUUCAUCAAACUUCUGUCUAUGGUAUAGCUGCUGGAUAUUGCAUUUCAGCAUCUCUGCUCUCCAUCAUCAACAAGUGGGCUGUCAUGAAAUUCCCUUAUCCUGGAGCUCUAACUGCUCUACAGUAUUUCACUAGUGCUGCAGGUGUUUUUGUCUGUGGAUGUUUUAAGCUUGUGGAGCAUGACCCACUUGACCUUUUGACCAUGUGGCGUUUCUUACCUGCAGCCUUUAUGUUCUACCUUUCACUCUUUACCAACAGUGAGCUCUUACUUCAUGCCAAUGUUGAUACCUUCAUUGUCUUUCGUUCUGUAGUCCCUAUAUUUGUUGCAAUAGGAGAAACACUGUUUCUGCACCAGCCAUGGCCAUCAUUGAAGACAUGGCUGUCGCUUGCCACCAUCUUUGGAGGAAGUGUGCUUUAUGUUCUAACAGAUUACCAGUUCACAGUUACAGCAUACAGUUGGGCUCUAGCUUAUUUGGUAAGCAUGACUGUAGAUUUCGUAUACAUUAAGCAUGUUGUGAUGACCAUAGGUUUAAACACAUGGGGUCUUGUGUUGUACAACAAUCUUGAGGCCCUCCUACUCUUUCCUCUGGAAUUGCUUAUAAUGGGUGAACUGAAGAAGAUAAAGCAUGAAAUCUCUGAUGAGUCAGAUUGGUACUCUUUUGAGGUGGUUCUGCCUGUUGGGUUGUCUUGCAUGCUUGGUUUAUCCAUUUCAUUCUUUGGGUUUUCUUGCCGGAAGGCAAUUUCUGCUACAGGAUAUACUGUUCUUGGCGUGGUGAACAAGCUGUUGACAGUUGUAAUCAAUCUGGUUAUUUGGGAUAAGCAUUCCUCGUUAAUUGGCACAAUCGGGCUUCUCAUUUGUAUGCUAGGUGGAAUUAUGUAUCAGCAGUCCACAGGUAAGCCCAAGUCUGCUCCAGAAGUAAAAGCAGAAGAUACUGAGGAAGAACAACAGAAGCUACUAGAAAUGCAAAGCAAAAUAGAAAGCAACAACAACGAGAAAGAAGAUACUGGAUCUCAUCAGGGAAAAUGAGGCUGUUCCAAAGACAAUAUGAUAGUUCCAUGUUAAAAGAUCAGGAUUAGGCUUAUUAGUUGGCAAAUUGUUGGAAUGGAAAAUCUGAUAUUAAGAGCCUGCCUACAGAUAGCUGGAUAGCCUGUGCUUGAACAGAACUUCUGUGGUUGGAAAUUUAGGUGGCUUUGGUGAUAUUUGCUUUUCUUUUGUAUCUUAUUUUACAGAUUUUAGUUUUAUUAGACCAAGAAAAACAGUCAGGUGUUUUGUUACAAUCUAUUGAUUUGUUCUUGUUAGAACAAUUUUAUCCAAAUAGUCCAGCAGUAAUGUCUUUGAAGUUGACGUUCAGGUGGGCCAAAAAUGUAUUAAAUGUAGCAGAGAGCCCAAUUAUUUUGAUUGUUAGUAGCUUUCUUGUUAUGUUGGUUGUCAGCAUUUUUCCUUGUUUCUCAAUAAGCUCUCUGUGUGUGUUGUGGCAAAUGGUAUGAAUUUUGAUGAAAAU
rnacentral:misc_RNA from 1 species